rnacentral:rRNA from 1 species
AACGAACGCUGGCGGCAGGCCUAACACAUGCAAGUCGAGCGCGCCCUUCGGGGUGAGCGGCGGACGGGUGAGUAACGCGUGGGAACGUGCCCUUUUCUACGGAAUAGCCUCGGGAAACUGAGAGUAAUACCGUAUACGCCCUUUGGGGGAAAGAUUUAUCGGAAAAGGAUCGGCCCGCGUUGGAUUAGGUAGUUGGUGGGGUAAUGGCCUACCAAGCCGACGAUCCAUAGCUGGUUUGAGAGGAUGAUCAGCCACACUAGGACUGAGACACGGCCCAGACUCCUACGGGAGGCAGCAGUGAGGAAUCUUAGACAAUGGGGGCAACCCUGAUCGAGCCAUGCCGCGUGAGUGAUGAAGGCCUUAGGGUUGUAAAGCUCUUUCAGCUGGGAAGAUAAUGACGGUACCAGCAGAAGAAGCCCCGGCUAACUCCGUG